AAAAUAUUACAACUCGAUCAUUGCAAACUUCACUGGCCUCAACACAGGUUAUAAAGCUUUAAGUCAGCAAUCCUUUUAAACUAUGGAGUCAUCCAAAGCAUUGUUCGUUUUAUUCUUGGUUUCUUGCGUCCUUCUCUCGGUCACGGUUUACUGCCAAAAAGCUGAGGAACAGGGGCUUCCUGGUAUUCGCUGGGGAAGACAUUUUCGAGAGGAUGACCGACUCAUUCAGAGAGGUAGCAAAGGAAGGCUUUGGAGAGCAAUGAAUCAAAAAAGAAAGCGUCAUUAUCGAUUAAACGAUGCUGUCCAAGAGAAAGAAUCAUAGAAAAAAAAUUCCUGGAUUACAACCUUCUUGAACAAAAGAGAUCCUUAUUUGCUAAAUACAUUGAGCUAUCGUAAUUACAUUUUUCAGGGAAUAAAAAGAGAUGACUUAAGAAAUAAUAGAAUUGGUUCUGUGGUUAAAGUGCACAUCAAAUCCUCUUGUAAACAACUUCUCAGUACAUGUUUCGUCAGUGAUUAACUUCUAAUGCUAAUGCAGGCGUAUCUGUGUUGUUAUCACCGGUCUAUCGUAUUCCGAUGUUAUCACCAGUCACGAAAUAAAUUGAUGCGUUUG
rnacentral:lncRNA from 1 species